CCUUGUACUGAGGGAUAGCCUUUGGAAACGAAGAUUAAUACCUCAUAGUAUUACAACAUCGCAUGGUGAUGUAAUUAAAGGUUACGGUACAAGAUGAGUAUGCGUCCUAUUAGCUAGAUGGUGUGGUAACGGCAUACCAUGGCAACGAUAGGUAGGGGUCCUGAGAGGGAGAUCCCCCACACUGGUACUGAGACACGGACCAGACUCCUACGGGAGGCAGCAGUGAGGAAUAUUGGACAAUGGAGGCAACUCUGAUCCAGCCAUGCCGCGUGCAGGAAGACUGCCCUAUGGGUUGUAAACUGCUUUUGUACGGGAAGAAACCGCUCUACGCGUAGAGCCUUGACGGUACCGUAAGAAUAAGCAUCGGCUAACUCCGUGCCAGCAGCCGCGGUAAUACGGAGGAUGCAAGCGUUAUCCGGAAUCAUUGGGUUUAAAGGGUCCGUAGUGGGCCGGUCAGUCAGAGGUGAAAUCCUGCAGCUCAACUGUAGAACUGCCUUUGAUACUGCCGGUCUUGAAUCGUUGUGAAGUGGUUAGAAUAUGUAGUGUAGCGGUGAAAUGCAUAGAUAUUACAUAGAAUACCGAUUGCGAAGCAGAUCACUAACAGCGUAUUGACACUGAUGGACGAAAGCGUAGGUAGCGAACGGGAUUAGAUACCCCGGUAGUCUACGCCGUAAACGAUGGAUACUAGCUGUCCGGCUUCGGCUGGGUGGCUAAGCGAAAGUGAUAAGUAUCCCACCUGGGGAGUACGUUCGCAAGAAUGAAACUCAAGGAAUUGACGGGGGCCCGCACAAGCGUGGAGCAUGUGGUUUAAUUCGAUGAUACGCGAGGAACCUUACCAGGGCUUAAAUGUAGACUGACAGCUUUAGAGAUAGAGUUUUCUUCGGACAG
rnacentral:rRNA from 1 species